UCUCCGUUGGUGAACCAGCGGAGGGAUCAUUACUGGAAUCGCAAGAUCCCACAACCCCUGUGAACCUACCGAAACGUUGCCUCGGCGGGCGCCCGGCCCCGCGCCGGGCGCUGAGCCCGCCGGCGGCCCCCUACUCUUGUCUCUGCAGCGUGACAUCUCAGAGUCCCAGAAAACAAGUAAAAACUUUCAACAACGGAUCUCUUGGCUCUA
rnacentral:misc_RNA from 1 species